GGCGUAGUCGAUGGACAUCCGGUUGAUAUUCCGGAACCGGCGAAGAACCGCCCAUGACGAACCUAGUGAUGCUAAACGCCCAAAGCUGUUGUCCAAGACCUUCGGGUUGAGGGUUUCAGUGGAGCGCGUGACCCGAUCUAGUAGUAGUCAAGCGAUGGAGAGACGCAGGAAGGUAGCCUCCGCGUGGCGAUGGUAGUCCACGUCCAAGGGUGUAGGGCGAGCUGUAGGCAAAUCCGCAGCUCACAUAGCCUGAGACCUGAUAGUGACCGCGUAUGCGGGAAGCAGGGUGAUCCUAUGCUGCCAAGAAAAUCUUCUAGCGAGGUUCGAGCCGCCCGUACCCCAAACCGACUCAGGUGGUUAGGUAGAGAAUACCAAGGCGAUCGAGUGAAUCGUGGUUAAGGAAUUCGGCAAAAUACCCCCGUAACUUCGGGAGAAGGGGGGCCCAGAGGGUGAAGGCACUUGCUGCCUAGCCUGAACGGCCGCAGAGACCAGGGAGAAGCGACUGUUUACUAAAAACACAGGUCCGUGCGAAGUCGCAAGACGAUGUAUACGGACUGACGCCUGCCCGGUGCUGGAAGGUUAAGAGGACCGGUUAGUUCUUCGGAGCGAAGCUGAGAAUUUAAGCCCCAGUAAACGGCGGUGGUAACUAUAACCAUCCUAAGGUAGCGAAAUUCCUUGUCGGGUAAGUUCCGACCUGCACGAAUGGCGUAACGACUUCUCCACUGUCUCAACCACGAACUCGGCGAAAUUGCACUACGAGUAAAGAUGCUCGUUACGCGCAGCAGGACGGAAAGACCCCGGGACCUUUACUACAGCUUGGUAUUGGUGUUCGGUACGGCUUGUGUAGGAUAGGUGGGAGACUGUGAAGCAUGCACGCCAGUGUGUGUGGAGUCAACGUUGAAAUACCACUCUGGUCGUUCUGGAUAUCUAACCUCGGUCCGUGAUCCGGA
rnacentral:rRNA from 1 species